GGCGGCGCCCCCGGAACGGCAGAGGUCAGGGUCUGCAGGGCGCCCGGGAAGAGGAGAGCCCCUGGAGGCGCAGAGGGAGGCUCCCCGGAACCCCAGCAUCCCGUUUUCAUGAAACCUCCUGCCCACUAAAAUAGUUGUCCGCCCUCCCUGCCUCGAGCUGGGUAGAAGCCACGCUCGGGCGCACGCCCCACCUGUGCAGCAAAAAGGAACAGCAGGACCUGCCACACGAGAAUGUGGGAUGGAGCGACGUGCCAAACCCUACUGAAGCCAGGGGCGGCCCCAGCGCUUCACCUGAACGGCCUUGCAUGUCACCCUGUGGCUCUCAAGGGACCUGUGACUGAGAUGAAACUGAGACACUCUGCUUUCUCUCUUCUGAUUUACAUCUGGCCUCGCCAUGCCUCAGCCUAGGCAAUAUAUUUACAACGCAGGGUAAGUGGGGUAAGAUGAUUCUUCUUACUUUUUUAUGUAUCUUAUUUUCUUUACCUUGCAGUACUGGGAAUUGAACCCAGGACCUUGCACAUGCUAGGCAAACAUUCCACCACUGAGCUACACCCCAGACCGUGUGCGCGCGCGU
rnacentral:lncRNA from 1 species